GACGAACCGUGCGAACGUUGUUCGGAAUCACUGGGCUUAAAGGGCGCGUAGGCGGGUUUGCAAGUCUGCGGUGAAAGCCUCCAGCUUAACUGGAGAAGUGCCGUGGAUACUGCGGAUCUCGAGGAGGGUAGGGGCAUCUGGAACGGUCGGUGGAGCGGUGAAAUGCGUUGAUAUCGACCGGAACUCCGGUGGCGAAGGCGAGGUGCUGGACCCUUUCUGACGCUGAGGCGCGAAAGCGUGGGGAGCAAACGGGG
rnacentral:rRNA from 1 species